rnacentral:tRNA from 1 species
GCCCUGGUGGCGGAAUUGGUAGACGCACUAGUUUCAGGUACUAGCGGGAGCAAUCCCAUGGGAGUUCGAGUCUCCCCUAGGGCACAA